rnacentral:rRNA from 1 species
UCCGGUGGUGUAAGAUGGGCCCGCGUCUGAUUAGGUAGUUGGCGGGGUAACGGCCCACCAAACCGACGAUCAGUAGCCGGCCUGAGAGGGCGGACGGCCACACUGGGACUGAGACACGGCCCAGACUCCUGCGGGAGGCAGCAGUGGGGAAUAUUGCACAAUGGGGGAAACCCUGAUGCAGCGACGCCGCGUGAAGGAAGAAGUAUCUCGGUAUGUAAACUUCUAUCAGCAGGGAAGAAAACAGACGGUACCUGACUAAGAAGCCCCGGCUAACUACGUGCCAGCAGCCGCGGUAAUACGUAGGGGGCAAGCGUUAUCCGGAUUUACUGGGUGUAAAGGGGGCGCAGACGGCAUGGCAAGCCCGGUGUGAAAGGCAGGGGCAUAACCCCUGGACUGCACUGGGAACUGUCAGGCUGGAGUGCCGGAGGGGUAAGCGGAAUUCCUGGUGUAGCGGUGAAAUGCGUAGAUAUCAGGAGGAACACCGGCGGCGAAGGCGGCUUACUGGACGGCAACUGACGUUGAGGCCCGAAAGCGUGGGGAGCGAACAGGAUUAGAUACCCUGGUAGUCCACGCCGUAAACGAUGUAUACCAGGUGUCGGAUAUCAAGGAUAUCCGGUGCCGAAGCAAACGC